rnacentral:rRNA from 1 species
AGUGAACGCUGGCGGUAGGCCUAACACAUGCAAGUCGAACGAGUGGCGGACGGGUGAGGAAUACAGCAGAAUCUACUCUGUCGGGGGGGAUAACGUAGGGAAACUUACGCUAAUACCGCAUAAGAUUAAAUGAGCCGAUGUCGGAGUAGCGAGGUGGCGGGGGAAGGGCAUACCAAGGCGACGAUCCGUAGCUGGUCUGAGAGGAUGAUCAGCCACACUGGAACUGAGACACGGUCCAGACUCCUACGGGAGGCAGCAGUGGGGAAUAUUGGACAAUGGGCGCAAGCCUGAUCCAGCCAUCCCGCGUGGGGGAAGAAGGCCUUCGGGUUGUAAAGCCCUUUUGUUGGGAAAGCGGUACCCAAAGAAUAAGCACCGGCUAACUUCGUGCCAGCCGCCGCGGUAAUAC